CCUACGGGUGGCUGCAGUGGGGGAUAUUGCACAAUGGGGGAAACCCUGAUGCAGCGACGCCGCGUGGGCGAAGAAGUAUUUCGGUAUGGAAAGCUCCAUCAGUAGGGACGUAGAACUGACGGCACGUGAGUAAGAAGCACCGGCUAAAUACGUGCCAGCAGCAGCGGUCAUACGGAGGGUGCGAGCGUUAAUCGGAAUUACUGGGUGUAAAGGGCUCGUAGGUGGUAUGUCAAGUCAAGGGUGAAAUCCCCUGGCUCAACGGGGGAACUGCCUUUGAAACUGGCAAACUGGCGUGUGUGAGAGGGUAGUGGAAUUCCAGGUGUAGGAGUGAAAUCCGUAGAUAUCUGGAAGAACAUCAGUGGCGAAGGCGACUAUCUGGCACAUAACUGACGCUGAGGAGCGAAAGCGUGGGUAGCAAACAGGAUUAGAUACCCCAGUAGUC
rnacentral:rRNA from 1 species